rnacentral:sRNA from 1 species
UUAGAUGGUAACACGACUACGGUUAUGGAUAAGUCAAUGCAUCAAGCAGUGGUAUGGUCCAGACUGUAGCUGUUCACGCAUCUAU